rnacentral:rRNA from 1 species
AGCGAACGCUGGCGGUAGGCCUAAUACAUGCAAGUCGAACGGCACCACGGUACAGUGUCGGUCGGAUGGGUGACGAGUGGGAAAGGGGUCAUUGGUACGGCACAACAUAGGGAUACUUGUGGUAAUACCGAAUGUGACUUACGCGGGAAAGAUAUAUCGCCUUUGGGGGGGACCACGGUGGAUUCGGUCGUUGGGGGGGUAAAGGCGCAGCAAGGGGACGAGCCAUAGCGUGUCUGAGAGGCCGACCAGCCACACGUGGCGUGGGACACGGCCCAGACUCCUACGGGAGGCAGGAGUAGGUAAUCUUGCGCUAUGGGCUAAAGCCUGACGCAGCCAGGCCGCGUGAAUGAUUAUGUUCUGAGGAUUGUAAAAUUCUUUCACCCGGGAAUAUAAUGACGGUACCCGGAGAAGAAGCCCCGGCUAACUUCGUG